UGGGGAAUCUUCCGCAAUGGACGAAAGUCUGACGGGGCAACGCCGCGUGUAUGAUGAAGGUCUUCGGAUUGUAAAGUACUGUCAUUGGGGAAGAACGGUUUUCUUGAAAAGAUUGAGAAGACAUGACGGUACCCAAGGAGGAAGCCCCGGCUAACUACGUGCCAGCAGCCGCGGUAAUACGUAGGGGGCAAGCGUUGUCCGGAAUUAUUGGGCGUAAAGGGCGCGUAGGCGGGCCUUUAAGUCCGGUGUGAAAGAUCAGGGCUCAACCCUGAGAGUGCAUCGGAAACUGGAGGCCUUGAGGACAGGAGAGGAAAGUGGAAUUCCACGUGUAGCGGUGAAAUGCGUAGAUAUGUGGAGGAACACCAGUGGCGAAGGCGACUUUCUGGACUGUAACUGACGCUGAGGCGCGAAAGCGUGGGGAGCAAACAGGAUUAGAUACCCUGGUAGUCCGCGCCGUAAACGAUGAGUGCUAGGUGUAGAGGGUAUCGACCCCUUCUGUGCCGCAGUUAACACAAUAAGCACUCCGCCUGGGGAGUACGGCCGCAAGGUUGAAACUUAAAUGAA
rnacentral:rRNA from 1 species